UAUGAAUUCAUGGAUUUUCCAUCUGGGAUUUUUGAAGAAUAAAGUGUUGGACUGCAUUUUGUGUUCUUUGUGGUUUCAAAUUAGUAAUUGGAUACUUGGAUUCUCCUGCGAUCUUCUAUUGUGUUAGAUACUUGAUUUGUUUGGAGGUUAGCUCUUUGUUAAUGAAAUAAUGUAAGGAAAAGAUUUGAAGCCUUCAAUUUAUCAACGUAGUAGGAAAAUAGAUAGCUCUAAUUCCAUUUGGUUCUUGAGAAAACUUAAAUCCCUACUUAUUCAUCGUCUAAUUAUGUUUAUUCCGUGACGUUGAGCUGAGUUUCAGUUUUGUUUAUGAUGGAAAUUUUAAAACUAUGACACGAUCUUGCCCCAAGGUACUGGUCCAGUGAGAAGUUCAAUUAUCUUAAGGUCUCAUAAUGGAGUACACUUACCCCUAUAAUGAGGUUUUGAGUAGGGAGAAAGAAAAAAUAAAGCAGGGGGGAGAACAACUUAUUUGUAAAUGAUAUACAAUUAUGUUUUCGUAUGCCAUUAUUAUUACAUUUUUCUGAUAUUAUAGUUUUGUUUAUGUACUAGUAAAGGAGAAAAGAUGGGUGGAAUUCAAAGGAGAGCAAGAUCCAACCACAAUCCCCGGUAAGCUUUUUAGCAAAAGUUGCUCACUUGUUGACCAUAGCAUAGAGUGGACAGAAAUACAUUCAUAUUAACUGAUCAGGCUGCACAUUGAAAACUAACUACAGUAGAAACUGCAUUGUUUGUUUCCAAUACUUAUGGUUUCUUGCAAUUUGAUUGCUGUAGUUGAAUGGAUAUGUUGGUUGAAUGGGCAGCGAAAGAAAGCUCCAACUCCAGAGGUACUUAAAAAUAUAUUUCAUUGCAUACUUUGACAGCCCCCUCCCCCCUCCACUUCUCAAAGCAGCAAAAACCUCCCUUACCCAAAGAUAAAGUGUAGCAGAAUUAUGAUUCAAAUGCAUAAAAUCUCUUAAAUAGAUAUUAUAUUUGAUAGAAACAUUUUGGUACCAUAGUCUUUUACUUUAGUUACUAAUGUUUCCGGUAAGAUAUCCUGGUGGAAUGAUUUUAAGUUUGAUUUGAUAGUUUAUUGUUUCUAUCUUCAGGAAAUAAUGGAACUUGAAGCAAGGCGUGAACGUGUUAGGCUUAACGUUGCUCGUACGUAUUCUUAGGAUCAUCACUUAACGUGUUCUGCCACUGUAUUCUCUGAAAAUGAUUUGUAAAGCACCAUCACGAUGUAAAGCACUAUUGUUGUGAAAAUGUAAAUCACUACUUCAUUCUCUCUAGCCUCUAUCUAAUUUGUAGUGUAGAGAGCAAAGCUUUAAGAUAGUUUAGCUUUCUUACAAGAACAUCAUGAUAAAUACUAGAUAUAAUGUCAUUAAUAGUAUCAUGUUGAUACUAAAAAGGUAAUUAAGAUGCAGAAAUUGAAUAGAAAAAAGGUAACCAGGAUUUGGCAUCGUGUAGCCUCGAUACAUAUAAAGUAGUUUAAAUUACAGAAAAAAGCACCAUGCCAAACAGUGAGACAGAGCAUAUGAUUGAAGAUCAAGGAGAAUAUAACAGAGCAAAAGGUGCAAGAAUAAUAGAAUCAUUGAACAAAAAUUUCUCUUUAUUCAGUUCCCAAAAUAAGAAGCUCAAGUUACAUGCUGUGGUAUAUAAAACUAUGCACUUCAUUACCAGCAUAUUUAGCAAAUCACAAUAUUUUCACCAACAGAAGGAUAUUGGAGAAAAGAGAAAUGAAUAAGAAGAAAGAAAGAGAUAAAGAUGGUCAACCUAUGAGACUAUGUAAGUGCCUCAGCUCCAGCAACAAUCUCCAAAAUCUCACCAGUGAUUUUUGCCUGUCGUUCCCGAUUAUAAACAAUAGAAAGAUUCUUCCUCAACUCAACUGCAUUAUCAGUAGCAUUACUCAUUGCGUUCAUUCUAGCUGCCAGCUCACUCGCCAAUGAUUCCUGCAAUGCCCUCAAGAUCUGACUAUUCAAAUAGAGAGGCAUCAUGGCAUCGAGAAUCUGAACUGGAUCUUGCUCAAACUGCAUAAGAGGUGAAAUUCCCCCUCCUUCCAUCCUCACCCUAUCCCUCUCCACGAUCAGCUUCCCGCUCUUGGUUGUCAACCUAAACAACUCAUCUUCCAUAGCAUCAACACAAGUCCCAUUCACAUCAAAAACCUUUCCUUGCACUGACAAUGGAAGCAAAGUUCGGAUUACUGGAUCUGAAUUCACCAAAGAUACAAACUUUGUAUAUACAAGCUCAACCUUAUCAACCUCUUCAGUAACAAAUAAUGAAAAAACAUCAUCAGCAAUUAUUUGAGCCUCUUUCGCCGUAGGAAACCCUCCUCCUUCAACAAACCUAUCAACCGAAACAUGAUCCCUACUCCUAAAAUAAGAAUUACCUUUUUUCCCUACACUAAUAACAGUAUAAUCCAAUCCAAGACCUUUCAAUUCCGCAAACCGGGACUCAGCCUUUUUAAUCACUGCAUUGUUGAAACUACCACAAAGGCCCCUAUCGCCAGUUACAACAACGAGAGCUACUUUCCUUACAGGUCUAAUAACAGUUAAAGGACAAUCAAUAUCUUCACAUUGUAAAUUUUCACUAACGGUGAAAAGGAACUCAACUAAAGCCUCAGUAAAAGGCCUACCAUUGAUGACAGCUUCUUGAGCUCUCCUCACCUUUGCAGCUGCCACCAGCUUCAUUGCUUCAGUGAUUUUUUGAGUGUUUUUGACUGUUGCAAUCCGCUCUCGGAGCUCACGAAGACUGCUUUGAACUGGAGCAAAAGGGGAAGGAGAUUGAGAGAGGCUUUUGAGGGGUAAUAUUUGAGGGAAUUGGACAAAUGGGUUUCGGUUAAAUUGAUGAAAGAGUACAUUUUUGUUGGAAUUUGAAGGUUUUGAUGAGAUCCAAGUUGGUAGAUUUGAAGAAUACAUCGUUUUGAGAGAGGGUUUUUGCGGGUUUUAGGUUUAAGCUUUGGGUUCAACUUCACAGUUUGUACAGACAGACCAAGGUGAUGUGAGUUCCUAAGCGAUGGGAAAUAGAAACGACAAUGAUCUGGGGAACAAUCCAACAAACGGGGAUUUGGAGUUCGGACUUUGUUCUUUUGCUCUUAGGCUCUGUUUGGACCUCUACGAGUUACUGAGGACGGAUUAAUUAAUAAUUUUUUCUCAGUAACAAACAGACCCCACUAAAAGUAGAGUCCACGCAUGAAAACUUAAACGCAAAGCGGUAUGUCGUUUUGAGUUGCGCCGUCUCCGUCACCUUCAGCCUCCAUGCCCACGAGUCCUUAAUUGAGCAGGCCAAAAGCCAAAAAAGCGUAGCUUUGGACGCAGAGAUGUCGAAGCUGUUUGCGAGAAUUGCUGGGUGUUUGAGCAACAGAACAUUCAUAGGUGUAGACAAAGCUGGGAAUCGUUACUUCACUAGAAAAGAAGGGAUUGAUGGUAUCCGUAAGUGGGUCUCAUUCCCUUCUCUUUUCAAUUUUUUAUUUUCUAGUUUUGCAUUUUUAUGGAUAUGGGUAUUCGUUAAUGAUCCUGCUUUUGCAUUUGCUAUGUGGGUUUUAUACUAGAGGUCCUUAGUUCUUUUGAAUUUUAUUUUUUGAACUUUUUGCUUUGGUUUCGUGGAGUUUUCUAUAUGAAUUCAUGGAUUUUCCAUCUGGGAUUUUUGAAGAAUAAAGUGUUGGACUGCAUUUUGUGUUCUUUGUGCUUUCAAAUUAGUAAUUGGAUUCUUGGAUUCUCCUGUGAUCUUCUCUUGUGUUAGAUAUUUGAUUUGUUUGGAGGUUAGCUCUUUGUUUAUGAAAUAAUGUAAGGAAAAGACUUGAAGCCUUCAAUUUAUCAAGUAGUAGGAAAAUAGAUAGCUCUAAUUCCAUUUGGUUCUUGAGAAAACUUAAAUCCCUACUUAUUUAUCGUCUAAUUAUGUUUAUUCCGUUUUGUUGAGCUGAGUUUCAGUUUUGUUUAUGAUGGAAAUUUUAAAACUAUGACACGAUCUUGCUCCAAGGUAUUGGUCCAGUGAGAAGUUCAAUUAUCUUAAGGUCUCAUAAUGGAGUACACUUACCCCUAUAAUGAGGUUUUGAGUAGGGAGAAAGAAAAAAUAAAGCAGGGGGGAGAACAUCUUAUUCGUAAAUGAUAUACAAUUAUGUUUUCAUAUGCCAUUGCCAUUAC
rnacentral:lncRNA from 1 species